rnacentral:lncRNA from 1 species
GAAAGAUCCUAGUAACAGCUCCUUGAAGCUAAAGAGACAUGAACCUCACCCAGUAAAACAGUUAACCAGGGUUGCGUACUCCAGAGGUCAGAACCAAGAAGAAGCCACCUAGCCUCAGAGGCUCAGAGGACAUGAAG